rnacentral:rRNA from 1 species
CGGACGGGUGAGUAACGCGUGGAUAACCUGCCUCACACUGGGGGAUAACAGUUAGAAAUGGCUGCUAAUACCGCAUAAGCGCACAGUAUCGCAUGAUACAGUGUGAAAAACUCCGGUGGUACAAGAUGGACCCGCGUCUGAUUAGCUAGUUGGUAAGGUAACGGCUUACCAAGGCGACGAUCAGUAGCCGACCUGGGAGGGUGACCGGCCACAUUGGGACUGAGACACGGCCCAA